UUACGGUCAAAUCACGCUGAAAACACUGGUCCUCAUUCGAUCACCGAAGUUAAGCAAUGUCAAGCCGAGUCACUACUUCGAUGGGAGAUCGCUUAGCAA